AUACGUAGGGGGCGAGCGUUGUCCGGAAUGAUUGGGCGUAAAGGGCGCGUAGGCGGCGCGGUAAGUCUGGAGUGAAAGUCCUGCUUUCAAGGUGGGAAUUGCUUUGGAUACUGCCGCGCUUGAGUGCAGGAGAGGUUAUCGGAAUUCCCAGUGUAGCGGUGAAAUGCGUAGAGAUUGGGAAGAACACCAGUGGCGAAGGCGGCUUACUGGGCUGUAACUGACGCUGAGGCGCGAAAGCGUGGGGAGCGAACAGGAUUAGAUACCCUGGUAGUCCACGCUGUAAACGAUGAAUGCUAGGUGUAGGGGGUAUCGACCCCUCCUGUGCCGGAGUAAACGCAAUAAGCAUUCCGCCUGGGGAGUACGGCCGCAAGGUUGAAACUCAAAGGAAUUGACGGGG
rnacentral:rRNA from 1 species